rnacentral:misc_RNA from 1 species
AAAUUUUUUUUUUUUUGAAUGGAAUUAUUGCUUAGCAUUUUAUCCCACAUACAUUGUUAAUGCGGAACUAAUCUAAUUUAGAAUUAUUGUGUACUUUAUUCCACAUUACAUUAUGCCUUUCGUUACAUGGACAACGAUGUAACAUUAAUUUUGGCGGUCAUGCCUAUUGUUUAGGCAUAAAUCUCUGUUUCAAAACAGUACCAAAAAUAGUUGGUAUUGGCAUUUCUCGAUUAUCUCACCACUUUGAAUGCACAGAGGCAGAGGUAGAGGCAGGAUUAAAAAUCGACAAAUGUCAGUGGACCGCAAAACCACCUUUAUGUUUGUAAUCGUAAAGCUUGUUUGAAAUGUUUCCUCUAAUUUGCUUCUGGUUUAAAGCUUUGAUUUCUAAGGAAUGAAAAGCCCCACUCCUGCGCAUGGUGAGCAGUGCCCAUUCAUUGGGUGCCACGUGUGCACCUGCAAUCAUUACUAGGGUUAUUUGGUUGCAUCGCCUGUUCUUAGUCUGGUUUUGUGCAAAACUUGAAAUGGACAGUCCAGAUUGUCAAUACUAAUCUCGCAACGGAACGAUUCCAUGCUAAGGUUAUGUUCCGUAUUUUAUUUAUUUAUUGACUUAGCAUCGUUGAGUGUGGCGAAAAUAUGAUUUUAGAAACUAAAAAGCCCUAAUUUUUCAGUACAAGCGCAGAUGACCAUCCAUUGUUGGUCUUUUCUUUUUCAAAAGAAAAGAAAAAAAAAAAUUUUGAAAAGAAGAGUCAAAACAUCAAGGACAAGGAGGCGUUUGAAUUCUACUGUGAAAAGCUUCUUCCUUUGCAUUGAGCUCCAAAAAAUUUCCACUAAAAUUUGUUAUAUUCAGAUAUUUUAUUUCUUAUUGAAUACUAAUUAGUUUUGAUAGACACUCAAAUUUGAC